AAGUAAGCACAGGGACUAUAUGUAGCAAAUUGAACAAAAGUUUGAAAUGUGCUGAGAAUUUCUUUCACGCGCUUUUAUUGUCCGAUGUCGGCAAGUUUACAACUUGCCGAUUCUCCUAUAUCUCACCCAAUAAUAUCGUUAUCUAGUUUCCUAACUAUCAAUCAUGAAUUUAUACGCUAAAACAAACAAGUAUUCGCUCUUAUUAGCUGUUAUAUUAUCUAAUUCUGGACCAAAUCAAUUAUGUUCGGAAUUGAACAAGGAAAUUGGAUCAUCCCACGAUCCUUUCCAAACUGUUGGUGUCGUGGAAAAUUGUUUAAAUACGACCUUCCUCGCAUCAAACGGACCUUACCACAUCAAAGACACUCUCAACUUUUCGGUCCGAAGUCGUCUGAACCACUACACUUUUGCCAGAGUUCUUCUCUUGUCGGAAUCCUCUUAUCGUUGCUAAUAAACGCAUCCCGGUAGCAUUUGGGAUUUUCCUAACGCCUUCGCUCCUCAUUUCCUGUGUGCAAUAUUCGCUCCCCAAGGUGGUAACAAUUGAUGAUGAUUUACAAGCUUUCUAUCACUUAGGAUCAUGGAACUUUUUGCCUUAGUUAAACUUUAAAACGAUCGUUAUGUCUUGUUUUGGACAAGUUGUUUGUUUGAUUUGGUUGUUGAACAUAAAUUUGACUUAU